CAGCAGCCGCGGUAAUACGAAGGGUGCAAGCGUUAACCGGAAUUACUGGGCGUAAAGCGUGCGUAGGCGGUGAGUUAAGUCUGCUGUGAAAUCCCAGGGCUCAACCUGGGAAUGGCAGUGGAUACUGGCUCGCUAGAGUGUGUCAGAGGAUGGUGGAAUUCCCGGUGUAGCGGUGAAAUGCGUAGAGAUCGGGAGGAACAUCAGUGGCGAAGGCGGCCAUCUGGGACAACAUUGACGCUGAGGCACGAAAGCGUGGGGAGCAAACAGGAUUAGAUACCCCAGUAGUCCCUGUCUCUUAUAC
rnacentral:rRNA from 1 species